CCUACGGGUGGCAGCAGUGGGGAAUAUUGGGCAAUGGACGCAAGUCUGACCCAGCAACGCCGCGUGAGGGAAGAAGGCUUUCGGGUUGUAAACUUCUUUUAAGGGGGAAGAGCAGUAGCCGGUACCCCUUGAAUAAGCCACGGCUAACUACGUGCAAGCAGCCGCGGAAAUCGGUAGGUGGCAUGCGUUGUCCGGAUUUACUGGGUGUAAGGGGCGAGCAGCCGGAGGGACAAGUCAGUUGUGAAAGCCACGGGCUCAACCCGUGAACUGCAUUUGAAACUGGGUCCCUGGAGUGUCGGAGAGGUAAGCGGAAUGCCUAGUGUAGCGGUGAAAUGCGUAGAUAUAAGGAGGAACACCAGUGGCGAAGGCGGCUUACUGGACGAUGACUGACGGUGAGGCGCGAAAGCGUGGGGAGCAAACAGGAUUAGAUACCCCAGUAGUC
rnacentral:rRNA from 1 species